rnacentral:tRNA from 1 species
GCUCAUGUAGCUCAGUUGGUAGAGCACACCCUUGGUAAGGGUGAGGUCAGCGGUCCGCACGUCAACG